GAAAGUAGUCACCCCCCUUGAACUUUGCAACCUUUUGCCGCUUUUCAGGCUUCAAACAUAAAGAUCUAAAAUGUUUAUUAUUUUGUGAAGAAUCAACAAGUGGGACACAAUCGUGAGGUGGAACGAAAUUUGAGAUCAUUAUCUUGUUGGAAGACAAAUCUCCGCCCCAGUCUCAGGUCUUUUGCACACUCCCACAGGUUUUCUUCCAGAAUAGUCUUGUAUUUGGCUCCAUCCAUCUUCCCAUCAAUUUUAACUAUCUUCCCUAUCUCUGCUGAAGAAAAGCAGGCCCAAACCAUGAUGUUGCCACCACCAUGUUUGACAGUGGGGAUGGUGUGUUCAAGGUGAUGAGCUGUGUUGCUUUUACGCCAAACGUAUCGUUUUGCAUUGUGGCCAAAAAUGUUUGGUUUCACUUUGCACUUUGGUAUUUGUUAAA